GAUGAACGCUAGCUCCAGGCUUAACACAUGCAAGUCGAGGGGCAGCGGGAUUGAAGCUUGCUUCAAUUGCCGGCGACCGGCGCACGGGUGAGUAACGCGUAUCCAACCUUCCGUACACUCAGGGAUAGCCUUUCGAAAGAAAGAUUAAUACCUGAUGGUAUGAUGAGAUUGCAUGAUAUCAUCAUUAAAGAUUUAUCGGUGUACGAUGGGGAUGCGUUCCAUUAGGUAGUAGGCGGGGUAACGGCCCACCUAGCCAACGAUGGAUAGGGGUUCUGAGAGGAAGGUCCCCCACAUUGGAACUGAGACACGGUCCAAACUCCUACGGGAGGCAGCAGUGAGGAAUAUUGGUCAAUGGACGAGAGUCUGAACCGGCCAAGUAGCGUGAAGGAUGAAGGUCCUACGGAUUGUAAACUUCUUUUAUAAGGGAAUAAACCCUCCCACGUGUGGGAGCUUGUAUGUACCUUAUGAAUAAGCAUCGGCUAACUCCGUG
rnacentral:rRNA from 1 species